GCAGUUCACCCCGGACUGCACUGCACUGAGUUUGACGGUUAAACGCUGAUUAUCUGUUACGUUACACAUGUCACUCAGUUGUCAUGCUGUUGAACGCUGAUUGGCUGUCAUCACGACAAAAACUUGUCGCCGUUUUUCCCUCGCGAAAAAUUCGCCCGAUACGCGUCUCUACGUUCACUUUGAAUGGGAUCUUGUCGCCCCAUCGCGUUUGGUGUGAACGCACAAUGCGCUUCUUCCUCGGCGGCGCCAUGUUUGCUGCGUUCUGAACCAAAUCAAAGCAGCGUGUGUGUGACGUCAUGACGCAUUUGCCGUGACCGGAACCGAUAAGCGGAAUCGUAAAGCAGGCUUGCUAAUGAUUCCAAGGAAUCGGUUGACAAGGCACCGGUUCUGAACAAGAACCGGUUCUCGAUUCCCAUCCCUAGUUGUGACUGUCUGAGUUUGUGAUAUGAGUCUACAGUCUCGUAUUUAUAAACAUGUUUCAUGUAUUUAUGUUUUUUACAUGUUGUGACAGUGCCUCAGUUUGUGAUUGGAGUCAAUGUUCUAGUAUUAUCUUUGUUCUAUCUAUAGUCUUUGUUCUAUGUUCCCACUCUUGGCCUACGACUUGACGUGGUGAGUAGGCUUUAAACUAAGACAUGCCUUUUAUAUUUUUGGUUUGGUUCAGUCUAUCUUAUAAAUGUUACCAAGCCUUAAUUAAACCCCUUGUCUUCGGUUUGCAGAAACUCGAAACUUCAGAGUAUAUUUUAUCUUAAGGUAGAUAAUCUUUUUUGUUUCCUCAUCAGAUCCCAGUCCGUCAUGCUCCUCUACUUGUCGGCCGUGCCACCAUCAUGCAUCACUUCUCAGCGCCCUGCCCAGCUGGAUCUUAUUCCGUUACUCCAGCUCUUUCAUAAAAGUGACAAAUAUAAAGACAUACAGCCCUACCGGUAAUCCCUGCUUUUCCUCCUCCUUCCUCCUCACCACCUGCACUGGCUGUCAUCCAUGGGGUCCCAACUUUCAGCCGCACAGCCAUUCGUCUCUGGAACUCUCCCACAUUCCAUCCGUGACACUGACUCUAUCUCCCCACAAUCCAAUCAGGCGCUUCACAACCUGCUGAUUGGUGCUAGCACCAAUGCGCUCAGUGGCGCCAUCUGGUGGAAAUAGGUGGUACAGCGCCUCAACCACCUGCCCCCUGGACCUUCAGGGAUGCUGGGCCGGAGCUGGGUUGCCAUGAUACAUUGGUAACCUGGAAAUAAUUGGUGUCUGACCCUUGUAGUCCCACCACUGGGUCCCCCAGGGUCCUGUUCCUGGAACCUGCCUCAGAGGAGCCCGUCGUCGGCAGUCCUAGUACUUGCAUAGUCAAAUGCCAUGUCAGAGGUGCACUUCACAUAUUUGGUGAACACCCCAGCCGGCGUUAGCCCAGAGGGAAACGACCAACACUUGAACCCUUGACCUCUAAAAGAGAAAUGGGGCUAUUUCCUGUGAUGGGGGGGGGGGGGGGAAUUAGAAUGAGGAUUUAAACGUCAUUCAUAUCCAACUGCACAAACCAUUCUGAAUCGAACCCAGCAGCUGUGUGGUUGACAUUUGAAAUUUGAUUUUCGUUAGAGAACCGUUGACACCAGCUUCCUUCUCUUUUAGGUGCUACAAAGUACCUGCUGUGCGGGACUUUCUGAACUGACACCUUUUCACUGCCCCUUUUAUGAACACAACAUCCCUAAGAGGCCCGUUUCGAAAAUAGAUCAAGAGAGAAACCCGAUAGAGAAGAGCAAGGGACAUAUAAGGUGCAUCCAGGAUGUCAAUCUCCCGGCUAGGCAAUUGUUUCAAUAUGUUACCCUGAAAGGAAAAAGCUUUCACUGCACAUAUGGCGUUUUUGUAUUAUAUUUUUUUAAUUAAGACAUUCCUUUUUUCAACUUCAAUCUGUUACUUCGUCUGCAUUUGGGUCCUCACUUCAAACCCUAUCAGUAUUAAAGGAGAGAUGAGCUAGCAGUACAAAGUCAUGUUUGUAGAUAAAUAAUAAAUAAAAUCACCUUUUUAUAUUUUAAUACAUACUUUGUUAUGUUUUGGUUGUUUAGAUGGAUUAAUUACCUCUGAAACUUUACUUUCAGUUUGUUCUUAUUUCCACACACUAUCUUAACUGCAACAUAAAGAACCAUUGUAAAUAACAUAGUAUGACUUUUUGGUUUAUCCUUUGAAAGCCACUGCUGCCACAACACUUAAUUAUUGCAGUAGUUUAAAUUUAUGACAGAGGGCUUCCAUUAUUUCCAAACCCAUACUGUCUGUAAGCAGGCGUGCCUGUGCUUCAAAACUCUUUGAUCUGAUCUAUAAAUAUAAUAAUAAACGCAUCCUGAAACAGUUAAUGUUAGUUUAAUUUGUAUUUUAUUAAAGAGUUUAAUAUCUUUGGAUUAACUUUUUGUAAUUUGGUCAGAAAGUCCAAUGUGAAUCUUUCAACUUCUAUUGAAGCAACAAUUUGUCCUGCAGGUGGCACUAACUGACUGCUUUGGAGGUUUUUGUGUAUAAACUACAACACCAUUUCAGUUAAAGGGAACAGGCAAUAUUCUCUUGACUCCCGUCUGGGAGAGAGAAUAUAUGGAUAUUCACUGUAUAACUCAAAUAAAUAAAUAAAAUGUAACCUCAUAUUAUCCUCAAGACGAGACAUGCUGCCCAGAUGAUGUGUAUAUUCUGGGAUUUUAGGAAAUGUGAAAUGCGACUAGCGUAGCCAUUUGAAGGCCAAGUGCCUUAUCUUGGUCCAAGCAAUGUUUUUUUUUUUCUCAGACUGAAGCAAACGUCCUUGAGUUUCUGUCUUUUUAGAGAUAGUGUCCAUUUCGGGCUACAUUAUGUAUGUAUAGGCUUGUAUCAAGGACAAAGGGCACCACUCUUGCUAUGCUUAAGGGUAAAGCAAGUGCUAUCUCAUCCAUCCAUAAUAGAUAUACCAUACACUAGAUGACAUGUAUUAUUAUCGGUAAUCAUUGCCUUGUUCUGUUUAUAUCCAUAGGAAAACUGUGAUUGAACUGCCACAGCUUACUAUUAAGGUAAAUAUUAGAAGUAAACGUAAUUUCCAAACUAUCUCCCAUGGUUUGUCAAUAGGUCAACAAAAGUAUAGUAGUAAAAAACUUGGAAGCUUGAAAAGUAAGAAAUCAUGUCACAUCCUCUGGUUUUCAUAAUUUGUUUACUUCUCUAUGUGUGUGUGUGUGUGUGUGUGUGUGUGUGUGUGUGUGUGUGUAUGUGUAUAUAUAUAUAUAUAUAUAUAUAUAUAUAUAUAUAUAGUAAAUUUCAGGAUUUUUGUCACUGUUCUGCACCCAUUUCCAGAAAGCUACCAUUUCUAAACAGUCCCUUCACGCCCAGAGCAAUUGGCGACGGCAUUAUUUCAACAGCCAUUGUGUUCGCACACAAAAUUAAUUUAGCAAAAAACGAAUUAUAAUUUUCUGACGCCAUAUUGCACUAUUCUCUGUAGGCAGCAAUGAGCAUUGUUCAGUUGCUUUGAUAGUUAUUCAUUGCGUAAAUAAUUGCAUACAAAAUAGUAUUAUUAGUAGUAGUAAUCACAAUGAGCAUUGCCUGUUGGAUGCACAAUUCAACACCUUGUAUUACUAUGCUCAGGGGACAAACAGGGAAUUUACAUACCUACCCUUGGCUGAGUGCUUUAUAUGUAUUAGUCUGUAUCACCGGUAGGCCUAGACCACAAUUUUAUUCAAUUAUAUGGUGGAAAUAUUGGCAAUUUUCACUAUAUAUACAUUGGAAGCAAACCUCUGAGUGUAUGUAUAUACACUGGAAGCAAACCUCUGAGUGUAUGUUUUAACGAAAGCAUGGCCAUGGGAAGAAGCAGUGACAUACAUACACAGAGUGUAUAAUCCUGCAUGUUCUAAAAGGAAAGCUUGACCCUUUUAUAGUACAAGGAAAGAAAACGCCAACAGUGAUGGAGGUGAAUUGGUCAAACAGAAAGCCAUUAGGAAGUCGGAUCCCAGCAUGAGGUUUAGUAAUGAAAAACUAACAGAGGGAAGUGUUGAAUGCUUUCUACGAUACAAGAUUAAUUCAGGAAGUGAACUGGAACAAAUGAGAAUCUGCUUCAAAGCAUGCUUGAAUUGGGAAGGGCAUCAACAUGGGCAAAUGGUGACCCUCAAACAAAGAUCAGAGUCAACACUCGCUGCAUCCGGACUCGUCAUAGUUAAAUGAGCAAUAAUAAGAGACCAACAAUAGCAGCCAUCCACAAAUACAGAACUCUUGUUUAACACUGACAUUGAAACAACGUAUUGAGGAUUGAAUACUGGAAGUGAAACUUUAAUCAAUAUACCUCUGGCAUGGCAUUAUAUAUAUUUUUCUCUACAAAAGGGCAAUACAAUCAUAAUACAAAAGCUACCGGAGGCUGGGAAGUUUGAGUUUGAGAAUUGUGAGCGAAAGGUUCUUUCCAUAUUGAAAACAAGAUAAGACAGGAAUAUUAUUCCAUCUUUGACUAUUUGUCACUUUUCAUUUGUAUAAGAUAUUUACACAUGCAGCUGAAUGUGUAUACAUUUAUCAGUUUUCAGUAGUCAUUGAAUAUGCCAGAAUCAUAUAGGAUACAUACAUACCGUUAUAUAUUCGUGUUUAAGUAAUCAGGUGUGGGUGUGAUGCAUCCCAUUCCCAACAAGGACCUGCUCACACACUUAUACACGCUUUAACUUAUUUUUCAAUUUGUUGAGGCCUGUGGACUGUUAUCUGGAUAGCACAGCUAUAUUUACACAUAGACACAAACAAAAAACACAACACGCAUGAUAACGUUACCCAAUCACUGUUCCUAUGUUCAGGUUUAUCUGGCUGUGGAUUCACUUCCUCCGGCAGUCCUUUUUUCCACCUCCCACUGCUACAUCUCACGCAUGCAUGCCAAAUGCGGUGCAUUUUUAAUCAACCGCCACCAAGGAGUUUAGGGUAAGAUAGAGAAACUACUUGUAGACCUGUAAUGUUCAAAAGGCUUACACAUAAGACGCUUAGUUUAUUUUACCAUAAAGCCUUUAGGACAUUUGUAACUACAUGUGGGGUAUAUGGUUGUAUUGACAUUAAUACAGUGAAAUCGAACAAUCACCAACAGUGUUCUCUGUCGGAAAGAUGCAGAGAACACGGUCUACAUUUAUGGUUUCAAAAAUGGUUGUAAUAAGUGUGUCAUUCUCGCAGCACGGCGGGGGUAUUAGCAGCUGCUACUGAGUUAUUGACAAAGACUGAAGUGUGCUAAUCGACUUGUGUCGCUUAUUACUAGUCAAGCCUCGUCGAUCAGGAAGUCUGGUUGUCUUUAUUUUAUUUAUUUAUUCCACCAUAUGCAUGUUCUAUUUUGUCUGACAUUUUAAUGUUUCAUUAGAACAGGACAUUACCGUUUCAAAAGCAUUUAUCGUCCGCAUUACAAUUGUCUCCUUUUACGUUGAUCCACUUUCAUGUCGGAUCUGUAAAGAUUCUAUUUCCCUUCCCUAUUUUCCUGGCACAGGCUACCUGAAGAGAAAAUGAAACUAGCUUAAUGCCAAUGUCACUAACAACCUAAUAAAGAACUAUGGGAGUCAAAGAAACCUCCCCGAGCGUGUUUAAGUUUGUCUCGGAUAAGCUUCAAAUAACAUACAGAUUUUACAUGGAACAAAAACUGUAAUAUCAAAGACAGUAGUCGUAAACUUAAAUUAUUACGGGAUUAUCACCCAAGCACACUAUGCAGCCCUUUUUUGAAGCGGUAUAAAUAUGGUUGCAUGGUGCACCAUGGGAAAUCAAACCCACUCAAGCUUCAUUUACGGGUAAGGGAAGAGGAAUUCUAAGAAAAGGCCACAACACCUAAGUAAAAUCAAUACACCCGGUUAAUAGAAAUCAGCAACUAGUUCCCUUACCCUGUGUUCAGCGCUAUUGCCAUUAGCCCAGCAGUCACCCUUGCACUAUAACUUGGAAUAGAUUAGCGUAAAUGUGCUGUGACAAGUUGGCACAGUGCUGUGCCUCACAGAACAUAAUUCCUAGCUGGGGAACCAUUCUGUGUGGAUACUUUACUCUCCCAGUGCACCCUCCUGGUGGUGUCCUUGAGCAAGGCCCUGGCAUCAGGACUGGAGUCGGUCCCACUGGCAGCGCGUUGUUGCUUCCCUCUACUCCUAGAAAUGGAACCUCGGCCCCAAUGGGAAAAAUAAAUACAAACUAACUCAACAGCUAUCCCAAACACAUUCCUAGAUACGCCAUUUACAAUUACAGUGAGCAGACAUGGUGCAGUUUGACUCAGCCAGUAAAUCAUGGCCAAGAGAAAUAUGGCUUCUUUCACACAUUGCUAAAUCUAUCCUUUUCUUUUUUUCAUUCACAAUGUGUCAACAAACACAUUAUAACUAUACCACCCACUGUACCGCUGUUACAAAUUUUUUAAAUUGUCUGUUUGGGCCAAAUGUUAUAUUCUGUAAUUCGGUGAUAUUCUGACUGUAAGGUAAGGUAACAGCCGUACAGGAAAAAGAUUCAGAAGGAAGACAUACAACUAUCAUUGAUGCACUUUGAGGUCGAGCGCGACACCAGAAGUAGUAGACACCGGUCUAGCCAGUAGUAAUCGGUAAGGGAUUACUAUUUUAGACCCAAGGGCCUUUCCGCAGAUUGUCUAGCAUGAUUCUAGAGUUGAGACACAAUUAUAUCCGCAGAUUGUACAGCAUGAUUCUAAAGUUUAGACGCUAUUAUAUCCCCAGAUAGUGUGGCAUGAUUCCAGAGUUUAGACACCAUUAUAUGAACAGAUUGUCCAGCAUGAUUUUAGAAUUUGGACACCAUUAUAUCCAUAGCU